rnacentral:rRNA from 1 species
GGCGUCUAAUACCGGAUAUGACAACCGACGGCAUCGUCUGGUUGUGGAAAGAAUUUUGGUCAAGGAUGGACUCGCGGCCUAUCAGCUUGUUGGUGAGGUAAUGGCUCACCAAGGCGACGACGGGUAGCCGGCCUGAGAGGGUGACCGGCCACACUGGGACUGAGACACGGCCCAGACUCCUACGGGAGGCAGCAGUGGGGAAUAUUGCACAAUGGGCGAAAGCCUGAUGCAGCAACGCCGCGUGAGGGACGACGGCCUUCGGGUUGUAAACCUCUUUUAGCAGGGAAGAAGCGAAAGUGACGGUACCUGCAGAAAAAGCACCGGCUAACUACGUGCCAGCAGCCGCGGUAAUACGUAGGGUGCAAGCGUUGUCCGGAAUUAUUGGGCGUAAAGAGCUCGUAGGCGGUUUGUCGCGUCUGCUGUGAAAUCCCGAGGCUCAACCUCGGGUCUGCAGUGGGUACGGGCAGACUAGAGUGCGGUAGGGGAGAUUGGA